GUAUGAGAUGCCUUCAGCAAGUGAAACAGGAGUACUACCUGGUGAAGAACAAGCUUGAAUCUUUAUUCGGGGCCUGUAGAUACUAAUGUAAAUCAUUGAAUUAUAUGAGAGAUUUCUUAUUCCUUGUAAAUUUGUUUCUCUAGUAUGUACAUUCUUGUUUUUAGUUCUAGUUUUUAAGUGUGUCUGUGUUCCUGCAUUUGGCUUGACAAUGAAAGCUUGAAGGA